GCCAGCUAGUUGAUUGUCCGUGGUCGUGUUGCCGUUGCUGUUGUUGUUGACGUAGUCGCCACGUUGCGACUGGCGUUCGUUCGUUCGUUUGGCUCGACGCCGUUCACGCCGUUCACGCCGUUCAGUCGAGGUCGUGGUCUCGCAUGAAGCGGUCGGACGAGUCGCAUCAAUAAUCUUCAGCAGAGUCUUUCACUGUAGCGCAGCCCGUUGAAGUUAGUUCAGUCAGCGUAGUUCGUGCCACGUGCGAUUGCCGUCGCCGUCGCCGUUGCUGUUGCCGUUGCCGCUGCCAUAGCCGUUGUUUGUUACACACGGCCGGAAUCGGAGGCGCGAGGUCCUUAGGCGCAGCGACGCGUAAACAUAAAUUUUGCGGCCCACAAAAGAUCAGAGCCAAAUCUACAUUUUUUUGCUGUGCAUUCUUGCCAAAUGCACUUUGACAGGCACUUCAAAGCCACUCGCCAUAGAUCGCAUUAAUUGAAGCCCCGCCCGGUCAGCCUAAUGACUUUCGAAAGUAUUUAAUACGGCAAACUCGAACCCGAACAUCACCAGCAGCAGCAGCAGCAGCAGCAGCAGCAGUAUUUUGCCUAAUUUCCUUUUGGCCCAAGAAACUUUUCGCCCAGUGCCAAACCAAAAAUAAAAAUCCAAAAUAAAUAGAAUAAAAUACAAAUUACAGCGAAAGAACGCAGCGAACUCUCGGCCCAUCGGAAUCACUUGGAGGAUGCAAAUAUGGUUGCAUAGAGCAGUCAGCAUAAGAAAGGAUAGAAAACAGAAGCAAUCAAAUUCUAUUUCCAAAUUGAAUUUUAAAUGCACUCACACACUCGUUGCCAUUGAGUGGGCAAUAGAUGGCAAGGAGUAGGAAGGACGCCGGCUGAAAGGACAUAACGACAAUAUUUGCCAUCAAAAUCGAAAUUGAAGCACUGACAAGGCAGCUCGCUAGCUACUUGUUAGCCAGACAAAGUAAUCAAAACUUGCCAAGCAGCAGAAAUAGAAACAGCAACAGCAGCAGCAGCAGUGCGGUCCGGUAAACAAGUUCCGGAAAUCUGCGAAAAAGUACGGAAACGCAGCUUUCGAUAGACAACACCAAACAAACAUAAAGCCGGCAGCAAGGGCAAACGAGCGGAAGAGUCGAAAGGGGCGUGGCUCAUACAUAAUACAUGCCACACGGACAUAUAAAACAAUUGUGUUACAAUCGUAGCAACAAUCAAUCAAGAGUCCGAUAUCCUCACAUAGAUUUCUUUUGGCGUUGACAAGCUAAAUAGUCAAGGUCAACGACCGACCGGAGAUGCCACAAAUGUGGGCAGCCAGCCGUUGCCGUGUCGCAGACAGAGACUGAGACUGAGACUGAGUCUAAGGCUCUCACUACAAACACGAACACAAACAUAAACAGAAACACACACACACACACACAGAGUCAGCCAGACAUUGCGACCGCUUGCCCGCCCUCGAUUUCCGGCCAAAUAAAAACCCCGCAAUUGCACAAACCCUUGCCCCUGCCUCCGCCUCCUCCUCCUCCUCCUCCUCCAGCUCCUCCAUCAACAGUCGGCGCACAAAAGAACAUUUUUGAUAAAUGGCAGUUGGAGUAAAAAAAUUUGCGGCAAGCCAAAAGUAAAAGUUUACGCCAGCUUGCAAAAUUGAAAGGCAAGUAAGGUGGCACAGAUAAGAGCCACAAAAAAACAAUAAUAACAACAACGACAACAAAAAGAACAACAACAAUAACAACAGCCGUCCCAUCACGAACAGAAGUGGCAUUAGCAAGCGUCAGCCUCCACUUUGAUAACAACAGGCAACCAAAAAGUAUAAAAAACGAAAGCGAAAGGCAGCAAAGAAAUAAAUAAAAAAUAAAAUAAAAUCGAAAGAAAAUAAAAAAACAAUUGCCGUAGAAAAUUGUUUUCCCUGCCGUAUAUCAGCCCACUCCGGUUCCAUUUCCGC